UUUGCUCUGCGAACGCGGGGCCUGCAUCUCACACUUCAGUUUCGUUAUUAGUUUUGAACUCGUGGCAGUAAAAGCUUUUGAGAGCUGAAAAACCUCCCCACAAACCAGUCUUUGCUUGUAUCUGCUGCAGGACUUACCUAAGCACGUGUCAGAACACAAGCACUUCUCAAGCCAUGCCAGCUGACCAGUAAUACAAUUUUAACCGAGGUGAACACAGUUAAGACAAUGAAGAGGGCUUUGGAAUCAAGAUGUUUACACUUGGGACAGCUCAGAGUGGCUCAGUGCGAGCAUCGGCUCUGCUUGGAAACACAGCGCCUGGAAGGGCUUUGCGCAAGAGCAGCGGGUGGUGCUGGCCAAGCAGCUCCUGCUGCCCUGUCCUGCCCUUACAGCACAGCAGACACAGGAGAAAAAAUGUUUUGUAUGAAGAGACACCCCCGCCUCCCUCCCCCAAGAAGGAAGUUUCGUUCAGUGCAAUGAAUGUUUCUUGACUUAAACCCCUUCUGAACACGUCAAACAAAACCAGGUAAACACCUGCACUGAUGUUCACAUUUCACACCGUGAGAGCCAAUACAUUAUUUUCUUAAAAUUUACUGGAGGCUCUCUGAAGUACAGCACUCUUUAAUUUCUGAACAAAGCCUAGACCUUACGGUUCAGGUGGUGUCAAAUCCUCUGUUCUCCUGCACUUACGAUUUCAAGAAAUACAAAUGGUAAAUAAGUAUAGGUUGGAAUUAACUGAUUACUGAAGAACGCAAGAAUUGCACCUCUUAAGUGGGGGGCACUACUGCAAUGCAGUCAUCAUUAACUAACACCGCUCAGUUUCCACUACAGCCAGGAAGGCCAGCCCCUGCUCUGUUCAUCUUUCAGGCCCCAUCCUAAGCCAUGCUGAGUGCCUGCGACUGCAAAUGAUGGCAAAGGGCACUCGCUGGGGACUGGUCAAGGCCACAACAGGAUGCUUUCUGUUGGAGCCAAUUAUUCUGAUGUAACAAAAUUAGGGUUAAUCCAAGGAAUUCUUUAGCUGACUCACUAUUCAAGCAAAACUGAUCUGCAGGCUUGCUUCACCCAGCCAGAUGAAAUACAAAAGCAAGUGAUGGUUUGGGUUUUGGUGUGGUUUUUUUUUUUUCAUUUUCCUAAUCUAAGGGUUUUUUUUAACAGAGAGCAAGCAUCUUUCAAUUGAAGCAGCAGGUCAAUCAAUCAUUAGUGGCAACUCAAGUCUAGAUUACAUUUAAGUUACACAACUACAUCAAACUAGAGCAGACCAAGGAAUUCAUUUUGGGGAGUCAUCUUCCACCGCCACCUAUUUCAAUCAAAACCAAGCUGAUAAAAUAUUUAUCAUAGCUUAGUUUAAAAGAGAAACAGAUUUCUGUGUACAUUGCAACACUAUCUGCAUUUGACUGGAUCUGGCUUUGCAGCACCAGAAGGUUCCACAAGACAGAGAACAAUUCUGCCACUGCAAUUUCAGUCACUCUACCCCACGUCAUUAAGACUGAGCAAAAAACAAGUUUUCUUUUGUAUAACUAGACUGCAGUCUACCCCAGACUACGGCAGAACAUUCCCUUUUAACAGCAUUCUUUAAAUAUGAGGCAGUAUUCAGAAAAAAUUCUGAAGUAUUUAUGCAUCACUUCCUUCAUUACUAACUGUUGUAUAGAAACCUAAAGCUGGGUAUGUGUUGGAAAGCACUCCCCCCCGAAAAGCCCCCAAACACACGCAGCUUAUAGAAAGUAACCAGUUCUUUUUGAUGUCUGCUGCAGUGGUUCUGAAAUUAAUAUAAAUGGAUGUGUGACGUGCGAAUGGGAGAGCCUGGAACUAAUUCAGUUUUAUAGAAUACAAACCCUUCAGCAAUUGGGGUACCUAAUUAUUUUGAUGAUAGGUGAAGUUUUGCCUUGAUCACACAGUGCCCAGCUGUGAAUCUGUUUUAUGACAGAAAAUUUCACAGCAUGUAACUGGUCUUUAAAAUCACGCUGUAAACAUGCAAACACAUGGCACCACUAAAAUAAGCAUGUUUUAAAAAGCCCUUUUUCCUUUAAGCGUUCUUGAGAAGGGAGGAAUGCAAAGGAAGAAAAAGGGAGGUAAGCAAUGCUACAAAUAGAUUUCGUUUACUGUCUAAUGCUUUUAACAUACUUCUGAUCUAUAAAAAGCUCAACUACAUUUUUUCAGAACAGUUCACUUUUUUAAAGAAACUAAAAGAGAUGGAUUGAAUUAUUUCACUCUUCUUGGGGAUUAAUCUAAAAGUUGUUUCCUCUUCAUUGUUACUUGCACUACAGCUGUGCUCAAACUCCUUUUCAUUUAGAAAAAAAAGUUUACAUUUUGAGCCUGCGCACACCAUGGUUCCACAUUCCAACAGCUUCCUCCCAGUCCUCUGCCAGCAUCUGCUAUUGAAGACUAGUUCCAAUUUACAAUAAACAGCUUUUCCAGACCAGAACACUUGAAAUUCAGUCCUUCUUGACUGCUUUUCCCAUUCAAUCUCCCUAUUCACCAUUUCAAGGAGAAAACUGUUCUGCCAAUUAUUACACAUCUGGAAAAAAUGCAUGUAUAAGCUGAAAUGCUCUCAGCAGAAAGUUUCAGCUUUCUGCAUAUGGUCACAGCAGGAUUUUAUGGGCCACUGACCAGGCCCAAGUUUAAGUUUUCCCAUCUUUCUCCUCCCCCUCAUUUCUACCCCCACCCUAACCCUCUAAUUGGAAACCCAUAGCAGGUGCAAGCUGUCUGCCACUUUUUCCUCCGCAGGAACCUCAAGUAGUUUCUUCCUGAUAAAUGUUGGCCUUACACUCCGGUUGUAACUCACUAGGCUCUGCGCUAAGUCAAAUGCAUCAGCUGAAGCUGUUAUACAUAAAAAUACACAUUUAAAAAUACCA